AUUGAACGCUGGCGGCAGGCCUAACACAUGCAAGUCGAGCGGGGUUUUCGGACCUAGCGGCGGACGGGUGAGUAAUGCGUAGGAAGCUACCCGAUAGAGGGGGAUACCAGUUGGAAACGACUGUUAAUACCGCAUAAUGUCUACGGACCAAAGUGUGGGACCUUCGGGCCACAUGCUAUCGGAUGCGCCUACGUGGGAUUAGCUAGUUGGUGGGGUAAUGGCUCACCAAGGCGACGAUCCCUAGCUGGUUUGAGGGGAUGAUCAGCCACACUGGAACUGAGACACGGUCCAGACUCCUACGGGAGGCAGCAGUGGGGAAUAUUGGACAAUGGGCGCAAGCCUGAUCCAGCCAUGCCGCGUGUGUGAAGAAGGCCUUCGGGUUGUAAAGCACUUUCAGCGAGGAGGAAGGGUGAUGUGUUAAUAGCACAUCAUUUGACGUUACUCGCAGAAGAAGCACCGACUAACUCUGUGCCAGCCGCCGCAGUAACAC
rnacentral:rRNA from 1 species